AGGGACGCUGACGCGGUGGUUUGGAUUGACGUGACGUGGUUGUUGCAAUUUUUGCUAGGCUUUGGUGGGUCAGGUUUGUACGUGGCAGCAUUUGAUUGGAUGGUGAAAAGGAGGGAAGUUUUAAUUUCCUGCUUUACCUUUUUUAAUUAUUAUUACUAUACUAGUCCCCUUUCUCUGCGUUGAGAGGGAAUAAGAUUUUUUUUUCUUCACCAACUUAAUAUCGAGAAAUUAUAUGAUAAUCAAGUUAAAAAAGGAAGGAAAUUAAAAAUAAAAUUAAAAAUUUAUAAGUAGAUAAAGUUAUUUUUAUAAUUUUUGAUGGGCUUGGACACAAUUUUAUUUCUUCUAUUUUGUAUCAAGAAAAGGGUUUUUUUUUUCUCAUAUCUUGGUUUUUUCCAACAAACAAACCCAAUUGACAAAUGUUGUGGAUAAUUUUCAGAUGUUUUUCCUGUUGACCCAACUGUUGGGAGAAUGGUGAUCGGAAAAGCUCUUUGACAUGGGAGGAAGAAUUUACCACAGCAUUAGUUGAUACAAAUGCGUAAGUGUUGGAUUGAAGCAUGAAUCAUUGUUCAUGUGUUGAUCUGUCAAUCUACAUGUGUUCAAGCGUUCCUUUUUUCGACUGCCGAAACCCUUUCUUCCCCUGAUAUUUGAUGUUCUUGCCUUCUAGUUUCAUGGAAAGUAAACGCGUUUUGACACUUGGUAUAUGUAUUUUCUCAAGAUCUUACUGGAAAAGAAAGCUGAAGAAGCAGACAGUCUUUCUUCUAGAAUUCAGGAGCUUGAGGCUCAUUUAUCUGCAGUCUUUCUUCCUAGGUAUGUGCUGACAUCUUUCUGGAAUUUUAGGCAAUUUAACCAGUGGUGGACAUCAGGAAGAGACUCCAAGAGCGAGUAAACUUUCACAAUUUCAUUAACACCCUUCUCAGCUGAAUAGCAACAAGGAAUUUGAGGUGGUGGGCAAUAGGAAUGGCAGUCACUGGCAUGGCAUGAGAGCAUUUUCCAGUUAAAAACAUGAGAUUAGCAUGCGAGUCGAAGAUAGAAAAAGUGAGAAAAGUGAGAAAAUGUUGCUGAGAGAAUUAAAAGGUAAAGUAAAAUGAAGCUGCGGCUUGUGGGUUGUAUUUUCUGUACAUUAUAGACACAUUGCAUGGCAGUUUUCACGAUGCACCAACAUCAGCAGAGGUCAGGUCUUGACUGCUAUGAUGCUAUCAACUAGCAAAUUAUCAUCACUAAAGCUUUGUUCAAGGGAUUGCGCCCCCCUUGCCUCCUCUUCCUCUCAUGGAUAUUUAUGUUAUCUGGCUCAGUGCUUCAUGUACCAUCAGCUACCAUGGCUGCUCUUGCUACUGAUGAACUAGUUGAAAUUGAAAUGGAGGAGAAUGUUCAAGUGGCUGAAAAUAUUUCUCCAGGAGUUCUUAAAGGGGGAGCUUCAACGAGGUCAGAAGCUUAACAUUUCCACUUCCUGCAACUCCUCCAAUCCCGCCAAAUUCCUAUUCAAAGAUGAGUAUGUAGAUGUUCGGGGCCUGGAGGAGGAGAUUGUCUAAUACCAUAAUGUUUGCUGUAAAGGGUUUUGUUUAUCUGUUGGCAUAACACCUCCUUACUAUGGAGGAUUGAUGGGUGAGCAAGGAAACUUUUAGUAUCGGUUUUGAAAAUGAUUUUCAUGCGUAUUAUUAAACCCAGCUCACUCUACAAA